AUGAACUCCGCCCCGAAAAUAGGGGAGGGAAACGGAAGAAAACGUAUCCAGCGGAUCCCCGAUCUGCCUCCUCCGAUAAUCGGGGUCCCCAAUACAGAGUUCGGUCUCCCGUACCGAGAUGGAUCCGGAGGCGUCUUGAUCCGUGCCACUGGGGCAACGGACACCUCCGGAAGGUUCACUCGCGCCACCCCGAGGCAGCAGGAGGAUGCCGUCGGCGAGCACGAGGAGCGGCGGAGCCUUUGCUUGGUGCGGCGCAGGGAGCUCGCGCUUGGCCGGUGCAAGGAGGUGAAGACGUGGAGAGGCCACGCUGAUGUACGGGCCGGGCGGCAGGUGCAGGGGUGGCCGGAGCUUGGCAGGGGGGAGGCGCGAGGAGCAGCGGAUGGAAGAAAUUAG
rnacentral:rRNA from 1 species